GACGAACGCUGGCGGCGUGCCUAAUACAUGCAAGUGGGACGCAAGGGAACACACUGUGCUUGCACACCGUGUUUUCUUGAGUCGCGAACGGGUGAGUAACGCGUAGGUAACCUGCCUAUUAGCGGGGGAUAACUAUUGGAAACGAUAGCUAAUACCGCAUAAUAUUAAUUAUUGCAUGAUAAUUGAUUGAAAGAUGCAAGCGCAUCACUAGUAGAUGGACCUGCGUUGUAUUAGCUAGUUGGUAAGGUAAGAGCUUACCAAGGCGACGAUACAUAGCCGACCUGAGAGGGUGAUCGGCCACACUGGGACUGAGACACGGCCCAGACUCCUACGGGAGGCAGCAGUAGGGAAUCUUCGGCAAUGGACGAAAGUCUGACCGAGCAACGCCGCGUGAGUGAAGAAGGUUUUCGGAUCGUAAAGCUCUGUUGUAAGUCAAGAACGUGUGUGAGAGUGGAAAG
rnacentral:rRNA from 1 species